rnacentral:rRNA from 1 species
UCCUACGGGAGGCAGCAGUGGGGAAUAUUGGACAAUGGACCACAAGUCUGAUCCAGCAAUUCUGCGUGCACGAUGACGUUUUUCGGAAUGUAAAGUGCUUUCAGUCGGGAAGAAGUCAGUGACGGUACCGACAGAAGAAGCGACGGCUAAAUACGUGCCAGCAGCCGCGGUAAUACGUAUGUCGCAAGCGUUAUCCGGAUUUAUUGGGCGUAAAGCGCGUCUAGGCGGCAAGGAAAGUCUGAUGUGAAAAUGCGGAGCCCAACUCCGUAUGGCGUUGGAAACUGCCUUACUAGAGUACUGGAGAGGUAGGCGGAACUACAAGUGUAGAGGUGAAAUUCGUAGAUAUUUGUAGGAAUGCCGAUGGGGAAGCCAGCCUACUGGACAGAUACUGACGCUAAAGCGCGAAAGCGUGGGUAGCAAACAGGAUUAGAUACCCUGGUAGUCC